AGUGAACGCUGGCGGUAGGCCUAACACAUGCAAGUCGAACGGCAGCACAGUAAGAGCUUGCUCUUACGGGUGGCGAGUGGCGGACGGGUGAGGAAUACAUCGGAAUCUACUUUUUCGUGGGGGAUAACGUAGGGAAACUUACGCUAAUACCGCAUACGACCUACGGGUGAAAGCAGGGGAUCUUCGGACCUUGCGCGAUUGAAUGAGCCGAUGUCGGAUUAGCUAGUUGGCGGGGUAAAGGCCCACCAAGGCGACGAUCCGUAGCUGGUCUGAGAGGAUGAUCAGCCACACUGGAACUGAGACACGGUCCAGACUCCUACGGGAGGCAGCAGUGGGGAAUAUUGGACAAAGGGCGCAAGCCUGAUCCAGCCAUACCGCGUGGGUGAAGAAGGCCUUCGGGUUGAAAAGCCCUUUUGUUGGGAAAGAAAAGCAGCAGGUUAAUACCCCGCUGUUCUGACGGUACCCAAAGAAUAAGCACCGGCUAACUUCGUG
rnacentral:rRNA from 1 species